GGGGUAGAGGAGCAGUUCGUAAUCAACCUGUUGAGGGUCAAGCUGAACAGUAAAUUCCUACUGCACCAGUGACUCACACCGAGUUGGCUGCACUAUUUACUCACAUGGAGCCUUUUCACGGAGCUUAUGACUGCUAUAGCUUAGAACCAGCAGGCACCAGUAGUUCCGCCUACACCAGUAGUUCCAUUUGCACCUGUGGUUCCCCCUGUACCAGCAGCUCCACCUGCACCAGCAGCCCCUCCUGCACAGGGAUUGGUUGCACAACAGCCACAGAUACUACCGAACCAGCUUUCUGCCGAGGCGAAACACUUGAGAGACUUUAGGAAAUAUGACCCUCAGACGUUUGAUGGGUCACUAGAGGAUCCCAACAAAGCUGAGUUGUGGUUGUCCUCUGUGGACACCAUAUUUAAUUACAUGAGGUGUUUAGAGGAGCAUAGGGUUCAAUGUGCUGCUUUUCUUCUGAGGGAUAGGUUUAACUGAUCUUAGGCGUGUAGGUUUCGAGAAUUAUUUUAUGGUUUUAUUUUCAAAAGAGAAAUUAGUGAACGAAUAUAUAACAAAAAUCAAACAUAAAAUGCAUGCAUGGAUAUUGAUCAUAUAAUACGAUAAACCAAACCCUAGCAUUUUACACUAUUAGGUACAAACUUUUGAAUUAACGAAAUAAAAUUUAUUUGUGAGAUUAUUAACCAUUAAUCACUAAUUCCACCGCAAACAGACACACUUAAUCUACACUAAAACAAAAAUUGUGACAAAACAUUUUAUUCUCGAAUAGCAUAAAGAGAGAAACAAUGAUGUUUUUUAUUGCUCAUGAUCAACUACAUUCAAAAGCAUGAAUCUACAUUUACAUUAAAACAAAAAAUGUGUUUAAAAAUGAAAUAAUAGGCUUUUAAGCCAAUGGUUUUCUUAUUCGUAUAUGGUAUUUUUAUCUUGAAAAGUCAAUCACGGUUCUUUUCUCCUCUCACCAUACUUCAUAUUCCUUUUGUUAGCAUCACUACUUCAUGCAAGUUUGAUAACAUCCUUUAUAACAACUCUCUGAUUUUUCCAGGUCUGCCAAUUUCAUAAAGAAAAAAAGAACAAUUAAAAGAAGGAUAAUCAGCCAUUAAACUAGAGAAAAUUAUUAAAGUAAGCGACCAAAUUUUAGUAUACUAAACUCUCAAUGAUUGUGAGUUUUGAUCUAGAUAAGAAGUUUGUAUAUGAAUACUACUCUAAUUGAAUGUUAGUCAUGACUAGGAUAACCUCUAAUGACAUUUCAUGCUCAAUGCAUGUAAGCAAACAAUGUCUUUCCCAACGAAUUAUCCUCAUUAUGAAAAUGUUUGCCAACACUACUAUUAGUGCGUAAAAUACAAAAGAAAUAUCAAAAUUAACACCAAUAAACCUAAAAUCUCUUUUUUUUUAUAUAAAAAAGAAAGGAUAGUGUCAAUCAGAGAGUCGAGCAGAAUAUCUCAACUAGAAUGUGACAUUCAUAGAUAUGGUCAAAACAACUAUGUGAAAGGGGCAAUAUUAUAGAAGCUAAUAAAAGAAAAAAACCAGAGCAAAGAUCUCUCAGAAUAGCAUUUAGAUUGAGACAUCAGAAACCAAAAAAAACUUAAAGGAUUAAAAUAGGUAUAUUAACUUGGUCCAACAAUGUAAAAGAAUAAAAUAGGUACUCCAAGAGUACUAGAAAUUAACUCACUCGGGUUUUGCAGGGUGGAAAUUUGGCUGCAGAGAGAAGCGGCACAACCAAGGUUGCAAAAUUGACGAGCAGCAUCCUCGGGGUUGGCAUUCGUAGCGGAAUUCGUAAUGGUUGAUGUGGAUCCUCCACCACAUAAGCUAAGGAAAAUCAAGCAAAUUACAAAUGAUUUCAUUUUUUCUCAAUUUAAAUUUCUUCUUUAUGUUUUUUCUUCUUUUUGUUAUGGUUCAAAUGUAUAUAUGGUUAAGCGCUUGAUUUUAUAGAAAAUAAGAUUGAGUAAAAUUAACUAUAGAGAGAAAAAUAAAAUUAAGUACUCUUCGUCAAAACCACAAAUAGAAUUGAGGAUGAAACAAUAUUCAUGGCGAUACUAUCGAAAAACGAAUGACUCACGAUGACACACUGCCACGCUUCCCUUGAUCACCUCACAUUCUUUUGACUAAUUUAACUUCCUCUUAUGGCUUAAAAUGUCUUUCACGUUAAAGCCCUACCAAUGUGGAAGAUCUCAUUUGUAGUUUACAAAAUUGCCAUUACACAAAUUAUAUCUUUGACAUUUUCAACCGAUUUUUUUUAGUUGUAAAUAUAACAAAUAGAAACACAUACAUAUAUAGACCUAGACCUAGUAAUAGAAGUAUACAUUGUUAUAUUUACUUUUCAUAAUUUUACUAUACGCUUAAAUCAAUAAACCUGGAAGUGAUCUCUAUUGUAAUUGUUUAUUUAUUUAUUUUUUGAUAGAACAUGAUCCUUUACUUAAUUUGCCGAGUUAUUAUUCGACACCAAGGGUUUCAUUAGUAUAAAACACAUGGCUCAACUGACAUCUGAUAUGUGUUAGCGAUCAUGACGUUUAUGACUUGAAUCACUGCACCUUCAACAUAUUCUCUCCAAUUACUAAUUUAAUAUCAAAUCAAUUAGUAUAAAAUGAGAAAGUUGAUGUCACAAUUAGUAUAAAAAGAUAUUAUAUUCGAUCAAGGACUCGUGACCUUAAAUAGGCUUUAUAUUUUGGAUUAAGUUGAAAAUCACCCACAUUGAAAAUAUAAUUUUGUUAAAGAAAUCAACAAUGAAUUAUCGAAUUACAAAAAACGUGUGGAGAAAUCGACGUACAUAUCUAUUUGUGGUUUACUAACAGUGUCAUAGCUACAUCUACGAGAUAGAGAAGACACAUGUUUUGGAGAAAAUCUUUUCUUAGUACAAAUUAAAUUGUGCCUCUAUACUUUGUUGUUCGUAGCACCACAUGUAACAAAUUCAAGGCAUUUUAUCAAUUUGUAUAUGUUUCAAUUACUUUACUUUCACAAUCCAAUUGAUGUAUGGUAGAAAAAGCUAGCUCAUGUAGUUAUGAUCUAAUAUGAUGAUUAAGUUAGAAAUUAAGUAUCCUAGCCCUUUCAACGUUUGUUAUUUUAUAUACAUUUUUCAUUUUAUUAUAACUAAUAAUUUUCACUCUUUUAUAAAAAAACCUCCUCCUCCAUAAAAAUAUAAAAAUAAACUUAUUAAAAGUUAUUUUAUUAAAAUAAACUUAUUGAAAAUUUUCCUCCCUUCCCUUCUCGUUUUAUCUCCCUCUUUCUCUCCACCAAACCUUCACAUCGUUUUCUCCAUCUCCAUCGGCCGCGGCUCACAACUCUUCAUCUCUCCACCGAUUGUCGACAUAAUCCACGACUCUCCAUCUCCACGACACUCUCUCCAUUUUCGGAUGGCCAACCACAUAGACUCUAACCCACAACACUCCAUCUCUACACCAGUUGUCAACCCACAACCAUGACUCUCUAUCUCCACCGACCACCGACCACCGACCGUCGACCUUCAACCCCCACAACUCUCCAUCUCCGUGCAAUUCUCUCCAUUUUGGAGUUCUUUUGCUUGUUUACUUAUUUGAUCAAUUAGUUAUUUUGUUUUUCUCAUUUUGAAUUCACUACAAGAAAUUUAUGAUUCAAUGGCAAAGUUUUAGUGGCGCAAGUUAUUUUUGUUAGUAAAAGUUCGUUUGUAAAGAAGCAAAAAAAAAUGUCACAAAAAAUUAUUAUUAGUGUCACAUUUUUAAUCCACGUCACUAAAAGAAUUAGUAACACACAUAAAUAAUGUAAUUAAAAUCUAUAUAGUUUUAGAAACAAACUUAAAUGUUGCUGAAAAACUUCAAACUUUCACCCUUACUUUCAAUUUCCCUAAACUUUUUUUAAAGAAAUUGUUAAAUAUAUAUUCUCUUUGUAUCUUCCCCUUUCUCUCCUCAAGAAAACUCUUCCCAAAACCCCUACCUUUUAAAAACUUUCUUUUAUAAAAAUACCUUUUCUUUUUUUAAUUUCUCCCUCUUUUCCCCCUUCCCUAAAAUUCCCCCACUUUUCCAAUCUCCCUUUCCCCCCACCCACCCCGAUUUCAUCUUAACCAUGCCACUUAACCAUGCCAUUGUUGGGAAUGAUAAGAUAAUUCGCUUGGCAAAUGGGUUUGUACAGCUUAAUGAUUUGAGCUUUAGUGACAAUUCAAGUUGGACCAAAACUAAGAAGUUUAGAUUGGGAGUGAAAUUUGUGGAUGACGAAAUCAAAACUAAGUUUCCAAGAAUUGAGGGAGCUAUCUCCGAACCUUUUAGAGUGAUGGAUCAGCGUGGUGAAGGUAUGCCUUUUUUUUUUCUCAAAUGCAAAGUUCUUUUUAAGUGAAAAUAUCAUUCUCUGGAGAUCCCUUUUUGAGACUUAUUUUAUAUUUUUAUAUAUAUCUUAGUCCUUCCAAUGGCCGUAUUUCAUUCAGAUUCCCUUUAGUCCUUAUAUUUUUAGAUCAAAGUUGGUGAAUAUAUUCAAACCUUUUUUUGUUUUCUGUUUAUUAUGAUGCAUAAGGGUACAAGAAACACCACCCUCCAAGUAGGGGAGAUAAAAUCUGGCGAUUAGAAGGAAUUGCCAAAAAUGGUGCAUAUCUCCAACGCUUGUCCUCCAACGAAAUAAAAAAUGUGGAUGAUUUUUUGAAGACUUAUAAACAAAAGGGUUCUACUUACCUGAAACAGGUAUACGUAUGACAAAAGAUAAUAAUAAUUCGAAGUUGUUAAUUUCACAUAACCAUUUUAUGCAGUUUUGUAUAUGCAGCUACUUGGUGAGAAAGUCUCUAUCGGCGAACAGAAGAAGAAGAGAGGAAAAGGAGGGUGGGCGGCGGCUGGGUAGAAAAGAAAAGAAAACUGAAAGAAGGAGCAGAGGGGGUUUGCGCGCGGGAGGAAGAAGGAAGGAAAAAAAAAAUUCUUUUCUUUUCUUUUUUCUAUUUACCUUUUCUCUUAUUUAAUAUAAUAACUAAUAAUAAUAAUAAUAAUAAAUAUAUAGUAUUAUUAUUAUUAUAACAUUUCUAAUCCCCUUUCUCCCUUAACUUCUUUUCUAAAAAAAAAAAAUCUUCAAAUUAAAAUGCAAUUUAAUUUAAAAGUAAGAUACCUUAGAGUUCGGGGUGUUAUAAUAAUACUAAAUUAUUGGUCAUUUUUUGUUGUGUAACUAUUGGUUGGAGAGUUUAUUUUGUUGAUGAAUAUGUUUUAUUGAAAUGAAUGUACGUAAUGAAAAAAACAGAAAAUGGAACAUUUUGUAUAUUAAAUAUAUUAAUAAAUGCUAUACAUGAUGUUAAAUAUAUGUCAAGUAUACUAUCGUACUUAAAUCACAUAUACAAUUUUACUUUGACGGAUAAAUAGCGUCAAGUAUACUAUCUUACUUGACGAGUAAAUAGUAUCAAGUAUAUUAUCUUACUUGACAUGUAAAUAGUGUCAAGCAUAUGAUCUUACUUGACAUGUAAAUAAUAUCAAGAAUACGAUCCUACUUGACGUGCAAAACUCGUCAAGUAUAGGACUCUACUUGACACGUAAAAGGUGUCAUGUAUAUAACCUCACUUGACACGUAAAAGGUGUCAUGUAUGUCGUCACGUGCCCGAGACGACGCGGAGCGACCGACGUCCUCAAAAGAGCUAGUUUUAAAAUAAAAUAGGAGUCGCCACCAAUCUUUUUUACGGCGUGAUUGGACACCGAAAUAAAAUAAACAAUUUAAAAAAAAAUGGUCUGCGAAAAAAUUGAGUAGCGUCCGGGAGUCAUUUGUGUGUGGGGAAGGUAUUAGCACCCCACGACACCCAUUUAAAUAAACGGUGGCCAAAGUUCAAAUCUUGAAUUGAAAAUAUUUUUUAAAAUUUAUUUUUAAACCAAUGUCUUAUUUCACCCCUUAUUACUCCAAUAUUUGAAGCAAUGAUCUCAUAAAAUAAGUGGAAUAAUAUUCCAUUAAUUAAGACUACGAAAGUUUCUCACCUUAAGAAAAUGAAAAAUUAUUACAAUUUUUCAAAAUCUAUCAUAGGCUAGUCUUUGAAUAAAGGAUUUUUUUUUUAAAACAUUGAUUAAAUUCAUUUUUUCUUGGGAUCAAAUUUCGGACUUCCAAAGAUAUUGAUCCCUCACCUCAAGAAUCUAGAAAUAACGGACUUCCAGGAAGUUCUAGAUUCCAUCGUAGGAUUUUUUUUAAGGAAAACGGUAUAAGUUUUUAGAAAAGAUUGGUUUAGGAAAUCUUAUGAAAUCAUAUGUUAAAUUUUGAAGGUUUUGAAAAAAACAUAAAACAUUUAUAGCAUUAGAGACAAAUUUGCUAAAUGAUUGUUUUUUUUAAAAAAAAAAGUCUUUUAUUUAAAACAUAAAGAAUUUUAAAUUGGAAGGAUUUCAAAACAUUAAAAAAAUUAAAUACAAAGAGUUACAUUUAAGUGCAUAUAACAAUAAUUAUGAUAUAGCAAUGUGAAUGGUAAAAGAAAGGAAACAUAAUAGCAAUAAAAAAAAUAAGGAAAGAAACGGAAAAAAAAUAAUGAACAAAGAAAGAAAUAAUAAGAAUAAGAAUAAGUAGAAGAAGAAAAACAAGUAAAAAGAAGAAGAACCCUAAUAAUAAUAUAAUAUAAUAAUAAAUGGUGAUGAUAAUAAUAAUAAUGAUAAAAUUUUCUCUUUGUUCUUUAUCUCUAUAUUUUAGAGAAAAAAAUAAAGAUUAAGAGUUGAGAUUAAAAAGGGUAAUAAAAUACGGAUAAAUAAAAAGAGCACAUUUGUCUAAUGUCAUUUUCUCUCUCCCUAUUUUUUUUAGAGAGAAGAAAAAGACUAAAGAUUUUUUUUUUAAAAUGAUGAUAAAAGAAAAAAAAAUAGUACAAAAAUACUAAAAUUUUCCUACAUUUUCUUUUCUUUCUCUUUCUCUUUUAACAAGAGAAGAAAAGAAAAAUAAGAAUUCGAAUUCCAAAGAAAUUACUUGUUGUAUGAGGUGCGGAUCAUUGGGAUUAAAUCCCUACCAAAUGCAACAUCCAAUUAAGUUUAGUUAACAAUGAGGUUUAAUUUGCUUAAGAUAAAAUUUAAAAAAAUAUAGAGACAAUAGGGUAAUGAAAAGAAUAACAGAAACGCACCUUUUACACAGUUUUUUUUUUUUUUUUUUUUUUUUUUUUUUUUUUUUUGCAGAGAUUCCCUCUAAAAACUUUUUCUAAGCACUCUUUUUAAAAAGAUUUCUCUAAGAAACUUUCUCCAAAGAAUUUUUGUAAGAAAUUCUCCUCUAAAGAAUUCUUUGUUUAAGAAACUUCUCUCCUCUAAACCCGGAGUGUACCACAAAUUAGGAAAAAAUAAUAAAAAUAAAAUCGAAAUUUAAUAUUAUAUUAAUAAAACAAAUUUUCAUUUUCCUAAAAUAAAUUAAAUGAGAUAUUUUGAGAUUUUGUAAAAAAUAAAUUAAUACAUCAAAUGAAUAUUAAAAUACCGUUAUUUAAAAUUGAUUUUAUUUUUUCCUAAAAUGAUUUUAGUAAGUCAAAAUUGAUAUUAUAAGAUUUUAUUUAAAACAAAUUCAUUUCUUUUUUUUCUAAAAUAGAACAAAUAUGAUAUUAAAAGAUUUAAAAAAAAAUAAAUUGAUUUAAUUUUGUUUCUUAAAAUGAUAAAAAUGAAAUAUUAUAAGAUAUUAUGUAUUAUUAUUUUUUUUUACCUUUUUUUAAAGUAAAUAAAUAAUUUAGCAAUUAUUACUAAUAUUAGUAUUAAAAAAAGAUAUAUAUGUGUAGGAUAAAAAUAGGUGGCUACAGUAUGCCCCCCUUCGUGCAUCCUUGUAGAAUUAGAAGGUGGACGAAGGUGUAGCCAUUGACUCAUCAAACUAAGAUAUUUUAUAUAAAUUAUCAACGUUAAGGACCAUGGAUAAGACAAGCAUCUCAUAAAUAAGCUGGAGGCCAGAGAUAAAACGAAUGCCACCACAACAACACGGUGUCAAUGGCCAAGGAUAAAACAAGCACCUCAUGACAAAAGAAUAAAUAAGCUGGAGACCAGGGAUAAAACAAGCGUCACCGCAGCAAUACGGUGUUAAGGGCCAGGGAUAAAACAAGCGCCUCAUGACAAAAGAAUAAAUAAGCUAGAGGUAGAGAUAAAACGAACGCCACCACAGCAACAUGGUGUCAAGGGCCAGGGAUAAAACAAGCAGCUCAUGACGAAAGAAUAAAUAAGCUGGAGACCAGGGAUAAAACAAGUGUCACCACAGCAAUACGGUGUCAAGGGCCAGGGAUAAAACAAGCGCCUCAUGACAAAAGAAUAAAUAAAAUGGAGGCGAGAGAUGAAACAAGCACCACUAUAACAACAUGGUGUCAAGGGCCAGGGAUGAAACAAGCACCUCAUGACAAGAAUAAAUAAACUGGAGACCAGGGAUAAAACAAGCGUCAUCACAACUAAAAUCAAAUUGAUAAAUGUCAUUAAAAAAUGCUUGUAUGCAUGUAUAUGCUUACUAAGACAUGGUUAUUUUAAUAGUUUUCUUUUCUUUUCAAACAUUCUCUAGAUUCUUUUCAAAAAAGAAAACGAGUCAUACAAAAUAGGUGGUUUACUUUUCCACAAAAAUUGAUAACUAGGCAUCAUAAUCUUGAGUUGUAACCUAGCUGCUAAUUUGCCUUGAAAAUCUUUGUGGAGUGAUUAUUUACCAAAUAAAACAUCAUUUUUAGUCAUUGAGACCGAUGGUAAUAAGUAGAUCAAUAAAAGGUAGCGAUCAUGUAACUUAGAUCUUGAUCUUAAAGUCCUUCCUUAAGCUUCAAACUCUUCAUAAAUGAUGAACUUUAAAGGCUCUUAUAGUCUCUAAAGCGAGGGAAUCUUCUUUGAGAUUAUCUCUCUCUUGCAAAUAAUGAUGACAAGCGUCUUGUGCUUUGCAACGCAGUCUUACUUAGAUGGAUGAUACUUGGUCUUCAACAAAGAAAGCCAGUUUCGCCUUAUAUAUUAAAUAAGGGAGACCGUCCCCAAAUGAUCUUUGAUAAAAAUAGGAAAACUCCUACUAAUCCAUUUUAUGAACAACGACGAUGAUUAUCAGAUAUCUUGCAACAUACUCAUUUCAAGAUUUUGGCUUACUAGCUCAACAACCCUCUUGUUCUCUAUUUCAACAUCUUGAGGCACAACAUAUUUUAGCUCUUCUCUUCAUGAUGAAAAAUUGAAACCAAACCUCCCUGUUGAUUUCAUUUCUGAAGUCUUCAUUGAUAUCAUUUUCUUUUCACGACGACCAAAAAUUAAGUAUCUUAGCCUUUCAACGUUUGUUAUUUUGUAUACAUUUUUCAUUUUAUUAUAACUAAUAAUUUUCACUCUUUUAUAUGGUUGCGUUAUAAACAAUAAAAAAAUAUUUUAGUAUUUUAAUAUUUUAUUGUUUUUAUACUUCAUUUUUCAACAAUUUUAAUAUUUCAGAUUAGAAAGAAUGACGAAAAAAAAGUUUAUUAAGAGUUAAGAUAAUGGACAAAAGAAAUAAAAUUAUAUUUAAAAGAAAACUACGAAUUGAAAACCACAAAAGUUUUUUUUUUGGUGUAGACACCCAAAACUUUACAAUUAAUUAUAUUUAAAAAAAUCAAAAUAGUUUAAUUUUUUUUAACAAAUUGAAUCUCAAAUUUCAGUACGACAUAAUCUAUUUUACUUGACACUAGUUAGUUUUACAAAAAAAAAUGUCAAGUAUUGAGCAUUUUAAAAAAAACCGUCAAGUAUAGUUUCAAAAAAGUGGAAUUUUUUGAAGUAUUUUACAUUAACUUUUACUUGACGUUUUUUUCGCAUCAAGUACAAGAGAGAUUUGAUUUGACGUUUUAUUCGCGUUAAGUAGUAUAACAAAAUUUUACUUCACGCAAACAAAACGUUAAGCAUAGUUUGACGAAAGCAAAAUUUUCAUGAAAUUUUUUGAAUUAUUUUACGUUAGCUUUUAUUUGACGUUUUUUUCCACAUCAAGUAUAGUGUAGAAUUUACUUGACGGUGUUUUAGUAUCAAGUAUAAUGCAACUUUUACUUGACAUUUUUUCAGGUCAAGUAUAGUUAAUAUUUACUUGAAUCAGAAACACCUUUUUAUUUUGUCAAGCAUAAAAAUAUAAAAUUUUUUAUUUCCCUCUUUUCAACAAUUAAAAUUAUUAAAAUAAACUUAUUGAAAAUUUUCCUUCCUUCCCUUCGCGUUUCAUCUCCCUCUUUCUCUCCACCAAACCUUCACGUAGUUUUCUCCAUCUCCAUCUCCACCGGCCACCGGGUCACAUAUAUUUCUUGUCUUUUAUUUACACUUAAGACCUAAAUGUUUUGCUUAUUGAAAUUUUUUCUUUGAUGGUUUAUGUGAUAUAUUGAUGGUUCUUUGUAGGAAAAACAUCCCUCAUAGUUUUUCUUUUAUAGAAAUGGUUCCUUAGAUUCUUGUCAACAUGUUUAUGUAUGCUUCCUUGAUAGUGACUUCUAGAUUCUUCCUUUGUAGUUAGCUCAACAUGAAGGGACUUCUUCAAAACAAUUACUAGCUAAAUUGGCAACUAAGUGGCUAAAAGCUGAGAUUCUCGAGAUACUUUUAGCCACUGUAGUUGUCAAUCUAGCUGGAACAAAGGAUUUGGAUAUUGAUCUUCAAAACUAAUUUCACUUCAGGUUUUUUAUUGUUUAUUUUUGUCAUGAGAUUAUUGGUGUUCUAUUUUUCAAUGUUUGUUUGUUUUGUAGGUUUAAUCAUGAUCUAAGGUCAGUUACCAAUAUUAUACAAACUUCACAUAUAUGGUUCAUGUUUAACUGAUCAUAGGCGUGUAGGUUUCGAGAAUUUUUUAGUGGUUUUAUUUUCUAAAGAGAAAUUAAUGAACGAAUAUAUAACAAAAAUCCAACAUAAAAUGCAUGCAUGGAUAUUGAUCAUAUAAUAGGAUAAACCAAACCCUAGCAUUUUACACCAUUAGGUACAAACUUUUGAAUUACAUGCCAUAACUUAAUUUUGGAAUUAUGGUAUAGCCAAAUUUUGGGGUUGCGUGACACACCAAUAUUUGACAUUUCUUUAUGUUCAUAUAGUACCAUAAAGUCAAUCCCAAAAUGACUCUUCCUCUCUUCGUUCUUCAUUAAUUCAUGUCGCUUUUUUAGCAUCUUUGAAAGCUUGAGUUCAUACAACCUCUCUCACUUGGUUCUCAUCAGCAAAAAAGAAAAAAGUGAAUAUAUUUAACAAAAGCAAUGAAUUUGGAAAUUACUAAAAGUUAAAUCGAGCUCAAAAUAUAAAAACUAAAAGUGCAACGUUCUGGAACUCCUAAGAAUCAAAUAGAAACUAUAUCUUCAUUUGUUUUCAUAAAGUACUAGAAAUCGAGCGAUAAGGAAUAUGAGACAACGUAAAUUCGUUGGACUUAGAAUCAUAAUACAUAUAGUUUUUGUUUCUUGAGAUGAUAAUAUUGCAAACGGACUCACUUGGCGCACCAGUGUAUCUCAACCAGUUGGUUGACAAACAUAGCAUAAUUCCUCACUAAAAAAUUUAGUAUGUGAUAAUUUUUUUGUAAAAAAUUAAAAUAUACUUUUUUUAUUUGGUUAAAAAAAUUGGAGUUAUAACAUUAGGUGCAACCUUAGUUGCCCAAAACAAAAUACAUCUAUAUAUAUAUAUAUAAUUGUAUCGAUACAACACACUUAUUCAAAUUAAGAUUAACUUUUCGUUUAUCAAUUGUCAGGUGGACCGAGAGUAAAUCAUUAAAAUCUUCAGAAAGAUAAUUGGUGCCUUCGAAAUAUUUUCGAAUUAACGAAAUAAAUUUUAUUUGUGAGAUUAUUAACCAUUAAUCACUAAUUCCACCGCAAACACACACACUUAAUCUACACUAAAACAAAAAUUGUGACAUAACAUUCCAUUCUCGCAUAGCAUAAAAAGAGAAACUGUGAUGUUUUUUAUUGCUCAUAAUCAACUACAUUCAAAAGCAUGAAUCUACAUUUACAUCAAAACAAAAAAUGUGUUUAAAUAUGAAAUAAUAGGCUUUUAAGCCAAUGGUUUUAUUAUUCGUGUAUGGUAUGUUUAUCUUGAAAAGUCAAUCACAGUUCCUUUCUCCUCUCACCAUACUUCAUAUUCCUUUUGUUAGCAUCACUACUUCAUGCAAGUUUGAUAACAUCCUUUAUAACAACUCUCUGAUUUUUCCAGGUCUGCCAAAUUCAUAAAGAAAAAAAAUACAAUUAAAGGAAGGACAAUCACCCAUCAAAACUAGAUAAAAUAAUUAAAGUAAGCGACCAAAUUUUAGUAUAUAUAUGAAUACUGCUACUAAACUCCUAAUGAUUGUGAGUUUGAUCCAAAUAAAAACUUUGUAUAUGAAUACUACUCUAAUUGAAUGUUACUCAUGACUAGAAUAACCUCUAAUGACCUUUCAUGCUCAAUGCAUGUAAGCAAACAAUGUCUUCCCCAACGAAUUAUCCUCAUUAUGAAAAUGUUUGCCAACACUACUAUUAGUGCUUAAAAUACAAAAGAAAUAUCAAAAUUAACACCAAUGGACCUAAAAGCUCUUUUUUUCUUUUUCUUUUUUUGAUAAAAAAGAAAGGAUAGUGUCAAUCAGAGAGUCGAGCAGAAUAUCUCAACUAGAAUGUGACAUUCAUAGAUAUAGUCAAAACAACUAUGUGAAAGGGGCAAUAUUAUAGAAGCUAAUAUAAGAAAAAAACCAGAGCAAAGAUCUCUCAGAAUAGCAUUUAGAUUGAGACAUCAGAAACCAAAAAAAACUUAAAGGAUUAAAAUAAGUAUAUUAACUUUGUCCAACAAUGUAAAAGAAUAAAAUAGGUACUCCAAGAGUACUAGAAAUUAACUCACUCGGGUUUUGCAGGGUGGAAAUUUGGCUGCAGAGAGAAGCGGCACAACCAAGGUUGCAAAAUUGACGAGCAGCAUCCUCAGGGUUGGCAUUCGUAGCGGAAUUUGUAAUGGUUGAUGUGGAUCCUCCACCACAUAAGCUAAGGAUAAUCAAGCAAAUUACAAAUGAUUUCAUUUUUUCUCAAUUUCAAUUUCUUCUUAUGUUUUUUCUUCUUUUUCUUAUGGUUCAAAUUUAUAUAUAGUUAAGCGCUUGAUUUUAUAGAAAAUAAGAUUGAGUAAAAUUAACUAUAGAGAGAAAAAUAAAAUUAAGUACUCUUUAUCAAAACCACAAAUCGAAUUGAGGAUGAAACAGUAUUCAUGGCGAUACUAUCGAAAAACUAAUGACUCACGAUGACACACUGCCACGCUUCCCUUGAUCACCUCACAUUUUUUUUUGACUAAUUUAACUUCCUCUUAUGGCUUAAAAUGCCUUUCACGUUAAAGCCCUACCAAUGUGGAAGAUCUCAUUUGUAGUUUACAAAAUUGCCAUUACACAAAUUAUAUCUUUGACAUUUUCAACCGAUUUUUUUAGUUGUAAAUAUAACAAAUAGAAACACAUACAUAUAUAGACCUAGACCUAGUAAUAGGAGUAUACAUUGUCAUAUUUACUUUUCAUAAUUUUACUAUACGCUUAAAUCAGUAAACCUGGAAGUGAUCUCUAUUGUAAUUGUUUAUUUAUUUACUUUUCGAUAGAACACGAUCCUUUACUUAAUUUGCCGAGUUAUUAUUCGACACCAAGAGUUUUAUUAGUAUAAAACACAUGGCUCAACUGACAUCUGAUAUGUGUUAGCGAUCAUGACGUUUAUGACUUGAAUCACUGCACCUGCAACAUAUUCUCUCCAAUUACUAAUUUAAUAUCAAAUCAAUUAGUAUAAAAUGAGAUAGUUGAUGUCACAAUUAGUAUAAAAGAUAUUAUAUUCGAUCAAGGACUCGUGACCUUAAAUAGGCUUUAUAUUUUGGAUUAAGUUGAAAAUCACCCACAUUGAAAAUAUAAUUUUGUUAAAGAAAUCAACAAUGAAUUAUCGAAUUACAAAAAACGUGUGGAGAAAUCGACGUACAUAUCUAUUUGUGGUUUACUAACAGUGUCAUAGCUACAUCUACGAGAUAGAGAAGACACAUGUUUUGGAGAAAAUCUUUUCUUAGUACAAAUUAAAUUGUGCCUCUAUACUUUGUUGUUCGUAGCACCACAUGUAACAAAUUCAAGGCAUUUUAUCAAUUUGUAUAUCUUUCAAUUACUUUACUUUCACAAUCCAAUUGAUGUAUGGUAGAAAAAGCUAGCUCAUGUAGUUAUGAUCUAAUAUGAUGAUUAAGUUAGAAAUUAAGUAUCUUAGCCCUUUCAACGUUUGUUAUUUUAUAUACAUUUUUCAUUUUAUUAUAACUAAUAAUUUUCACUCUUUUAUAAAAAAACCUCCUCCUCCAUAAAAAUAUAAAAAUAAACUUAUUAAAAGUUAUUUUAUUAAAAUAAACUUAUUGAAAAUUUUCCUCCCUUCCCUUCUCGUUUUAUCUCCCUCUUUCUCUCCACCAAACCUUCACAUCGUUUUCUCCAUCUCCAUCGGCCGCGGCUCACAACUCUUCAUCUCUCCACCGAUUGUCGACAUAAUCCACGACUCUCCAUCUCCACGACACUCUCUCCAUUUUCGGAUGGCCAACCACAUAGACUCUAACCCACAACACUCCAUCUCUACACCAGUUGCCAACCCACAACCAGGACUCUCUAUCUCCACCGACCACCGACCACCGACCGUCGACCUUCAACCCCCACAACUCUCCAUCUUCGUGCAAUUCUCGCCAUUUUGGAGUUCUUUUGCUUGUUUACUUAUUUGAUCAAUUAGUUAUUUUGUUUUUCUCAUUUUGAAUUCACUACAAGAAAUUUAUGAUUCAAUGGCAAAGUUUUAGUGGCGCAAGUUAUUUUUGUUAGUAAAAGUUCGUUUGUAAAGAAGCAAAAAAAAAUGUCACAAAAAAUUAUUAUUAGUGUCACAUUUUUAAUCCACGUCACUAAAAGAAUUAGUAACACACAUAAAUAAUGUAAUUAAAAUCUAUAUAGUUUUAGAAACAAACUUAAAUGUUGCUGAAAAACUUCAAACUUUCACCCUUACUUUCAAUUUCCCUAAACUUUUUUUAAAGAAAUUGUUAAAUAUAUAUUCUCUUUGUAUCUUCCCCUUUCUCUCCUCAAGAAAACUCUUCCCAAAACCCCUACCUUUUAAAAACUUUCUUUUAUAAAAAUACCUUUUCUUUUUUUAAUUUCUCCCUCUUUUCCCCUUCCCUAAAAUUCCCCCACUUUUCCAAUCUCCCUUUCCCCCACCCACCCCCGAUUUCAUCUUAACCAUGCCACUUAACCAUGCCAUUGUUGGGAAUGAUAAGAUAAUUCGCUUGGCAAAUGGGUUUGUACAGCUUAAUGAUUUGAGCUUUAGUGACAAUUCAAGUUGGACCAAAACUAAGAAGUUUAGAUUGGGAGUGAAAUUUGUGGAUGACGAAAUCAAAACUAAGUUUCCAAGAAUUGAGGGAGCUAUCUCCGAACCUUUUAGAGUGAUGGAUCAGCGUGGUGAAGGUAUGCCUUUUUUUUUUCUCAAAUGCAAAGUUCUUUUUAAGUGAAAAUAUCAUUCUCUGGAGAUCCCUUUUUGAGACUUAUUUUAUAUUUUUAUAUAUAUCUUAGUCCUUCCAAUGGCCGUAUUUCAUUCAGAUUCCCUUUAGUCCUUAUAUUUUUAGAUCAAAGUUGGUGAAUAUAUUCAAACCUUUUUUUGUUUUCUGUUUAUUAUGAUGCAUAAGGGUACAAGAAACACCACCCUCCAAGUAGGGGAGAUAAAAUCUGGCGAUUAGAAGGAAUUGCCAAAAAUGGUGCAUAUCUCCAACGCUUGUCCUCCAACGAAAUAAAAAAUGUGGAUGAUUUUUUGAAGACUUAUAAACAAAAGGGUUCUACUUACCUGAAACAGGUAUACGUAUGACAAAAGAUAAUAAUAAUUCGAAGUUGUUAAUUUCACAUAACCAUUUUAUGCAGUUUUGUAUAUGCAGCUACUUGGUGAGAAAGUCUCUAUCGGCGAACAGAAGAAGAAGAGAGGAAAAGGAGGGUGGGCGGCGGCUGGGUAGAAAAGAAAAGAAAACUGAAAGAAGGAGCAGAGGGGGGUUUGCGCGCGGGAGGAAGAAGGAAGGAAAAAAAAAAUUCUUUUCUUUUCUUUUUUCUAUUUACCUUUUCUCUUAUUUAAUAUAAUAACUAAUAAUAAUAAUAAUAAUAAAUAUAUAGUAUUAUUAUUAUUAUAACAUUUCUAAUCCCCUUUCUCCCUUAACUUCUUUUCUAAAAAAAAAAAAUCUUCAAAUUAAAAUGCAAUUUAAUUUAAAAGUAAGAUACCUUAGAGUUCGGGGUGUUAUAAUAAUACUAAAUUAUUGGUCAUUUUUUGUUGUGUAACUAUUGGUUGGAGAGUUUAUUUUGUUGAUGAAUAUGUUUUAUUGAAAUGAAUGUACGUAAUGAAAAAAACAGAAAAUGGAACAUUUUGUAUAUUAAAUAUAUUAAUAAAUGCUAUACAUGAUGUUAAAUAUAUGUCAAGUAUACUAUCGUACUUAAAUCACAUAUACAAUUUUACUUUGACGGAUAAAUAGCGUCAAGUAUACUAUCUUACUUGACGAGUAAAUAGUAUCAAGUAUAUUAUCUUACUUGACAUGUAAAUAGUGUCAAGCAUAUGAUCUUACUUGACAUGUAAAUAAUAUCAAGAAUACGAUCCUACUUGACGUGCAAAACUCGUCAAGUAUAGGACUCUACUUGACACGUAAAAGGUGUCAUGUAUAUAACCUCACUUGACACGUAAAAGGUGUCAUGUAUAUAACCUCACUCGACACGUAAAAGGUGUCAUGUAUAUAACCUCACUUGACACAUAAAAGGUGUCAUGUAUAUAACCUCACUUGACACAUAAUAAGCGUCAAGUGUGAUAGAUUACUUGACGUUAAUACAAUGUCAAGUAACUGUAUACUUGACGAUUUUCUAGUGUAUAGUAAUGUGACUAUACCUAACAGUCCAUUACUUGACGCUUUUAAAAACGUCAAGUAAGCCAAUUUUGGUAGUAGUGAUUUCAAAUUGAGAAUAUAAAUUUUCAAAUUGAUAAUAAAUAUAAACACUAUGUGAUCAUGACGUGGUCGCGAGACUAACUUCAGAAUUUGCAGUUUCAAGAAGUUAUCUAAAGAGAUACAAAUUUAAGCUUUUACCUUAGUUUAUUUACAAUUUUCCCUAAUUGUUUUCCAUUUUCAAAAUUCUAUAUAUUUCUUGUCUUUUAUUUACACUUAAGACCUAAAUGUUUUGCUUAUUGAAUUUUUUUCUUUGAUGGUUUUUGUGAUAUAUUGAUGGUUCUUUGUAGGAAAAACAUCACCCUCAUAGUUUUACUUUUAUAGGAAUGGUUCCUUAGAUUCUUGUCAACAUGUUUAUGUAUGCUUCCUUGAUAGUGACUUCUAGAUUCUUCCUUUGUAGUUAGCUCAACAGGAAGGGAUUUCUUCAAAACAAUUACUAGCUAGAUGCAACUAGAGUGGCUAAAAGCUGAGAUUCUCGAGAUACUUUUAGCUACUGUAGUUGUCAAUCUAGCUGGAACAAAGGAUUUGGAUAUAUAUAUUUUCAAAACUAAUUUCACUUCAGGUUUUUUAUUGUUUAUUUGUCAUGAGAUUAUUGGUGUUCUAUUUUUCAAUGUUUGUCUGUUUUGUAGGUUUAAUCAUGAUCUAAGGUCAGUUGCCAAUAUUAUACAAACUUCACAUAUAUGGUUCAUAUGUUUAACUGAUCUUAAGCAAAAUAUUAUUUUCUUUUUUCUUUAUUUCUUGGUGACAGGUGUUUGCUAUCAUUUGUGAUUGUGUAUUCUACCAUGGUGGUGACUCCUGAAGAAUAUCUUUCGUUUGACUCCAUAGUAAGUAACUAUAAUUUUGCUGGCACAUCAUGCCAAAUAUUUUCAUUCAUGCAUCCUAUCUUCUUUAUGAUUUUUAGGUUGAAUUAUAACAUUUGUAUAACGUGAAACAAUUUAUCUUGUAGGAACUAGCUAAACAUGAAAAAGUUUGGGGAUAUUGCAUUCAGGGACAAGGAUUAUAAAAAUGGUCAUAAUUGAGUACUACUCAAAGGUGCUUUCUACGCUCUUAACUUCAUAGCUUUGAUAUAUUGUUACAAUAUGGAUAACAUAACGACUAAUUCUCAAAGUCGUUGAAAUUCAGGAUUUUGUUUUUUGUUCAUGUCAAUGCAUGGUUAACAUUAUGACCAUUUUUGAAACUGCAUCUAAUAUCAAUGAUGUCAGUUCCUUCUGGUAACUUCAACCCAACUAGUAUCACAAUGUAAAAUUGGGUUUUUUACCUCCCACUUGUUCUUCCUGUGAAAUCAUGCUCAUAAAAGUUACUCAUUUGUUUACUUUCUCAGGGGUAUCGCUAUAAAAAGAAGAUUUUUCAGAAGGUAAGCACUUUGUUUGCCUUUGGGCCUGUAUAAUCGAUGAUGAUGUUUUCGAUUGUAGUAUUGCCCAUUAAAAGUCACAUAGAUAAAAGUCACGAUUACAACUUAAAACAUGGGUAGAGUUGUCAAAUGAACUAUAAUCACUAGAAGAAAAUUUGUCUACUAUGACAGUUAUAUAUCUCACAAAAUGAAUGGGAAAAUAAAAAACUAUCACAAAAUAGAAAAUUCGCGUCUUUGGCGGGAAAAGACAGAAUUUUUUGAAAAACACUUUUCGCGACAGUUAUUUAAUGUCAUAGAAUGUUACCAUUAAAAAAUUUAUUAUUUUAUAUUUAAAAAAUUAAAAUUACAUAUUUGUAUUUUUAAAAAAACACAAUUUCCCCUUCUAAUUUUUCCCCAAAAUUUUUCCCCAAUUUUUUCCUCCCAUCCGCGCUCGUUCUCUCCUAAAUUACCCCCAUUCCUUCCGUCCGCGUUUCUCCCCAUUCCGGCCAUCUUAAGUCUCGUCACCACCACUGCCCCCUCCUGCCCGUCCGUUCAAAUCUCCUCCUCCUCGCCACCACCACCCCGUCGCCACCACCCCCGUCUUCUCCAAACCUCUGCAAUCAACCUGAAGCUUCAAAUUGUGGACGUCGGUCGUCACCCCUUAGCCGGUAAGCUUCUCUUCCUUAUCUCUUUCUCUCCUCUCUCUAUGAAGUUCUUCUUUGUCUCCAUGGGAUUGUUUUGUGAGUUUCAGUUUUUCCCAAUUUCAGUCAUUAAUCGUUGAAUUUUCAUUAUAUGACCUUAAUUCGUUCUUGCAACUACAUGAGAUUAUUUUGUGAGUUUGAGUUAUGCCUAAUUUCUGUUUUCUAAUUGUUGAUUUCUCUUGAAUUUUAAUUUCUGGCAGUGUACUGUGGUACAAUCUAAAAUUUGUCUAAUUACUUGUACAAUGUAAACCAAACUACUUAUACAAACCUACCUAAUAAGCUAACUAAAGACAAACUAUUGUUAUAAUUAAUUGUCAACUAAUUCCCUUCAUCAUUCAUCAUGUCUGUAAAGGAAAUUGUCCUUCAAUUGAGUGUAAAACUUGAAAUAACAAAGGUUUUAUGCUAAUUGGGGGGAGAAGUUUCCUUCAAGAUGGUUCCAUCACUAAGCUGGUAAUGAGACAACCUUUUAAAUUAAUGUAACAAAUUCCAUUAGUUUUCAUCAUGCCAUUCGAGUGGUUCGUUUAAUAGCGACCAAAAGUCUUUAAAACUGUCAAAGUCGACAAAAUCCAAUAGGGGAGGUCUAAAUUGACUCAAGUCUUAAGAGAAUGUUUCAUGGUAUUUGAGUGUUAAUAGGUGGAUUUGUUUCUCUAAAUCUUAAGUAUAAUGUUUCUUUCUCAAUGAUUGUUUACGAGGAACAUUUGAUUUUGGGCAUUUCUUUUCAUAUAGCACAUUUUUGUUAUAAAUUCAAAAGUUUGAUCUUUCAUUAGAAGGAGAAAAAUCAGCAUCAUAUUUAGAUAAGAAUUUGAUGAACUCUGAUAUAUAGAUGUGAGAACUUAUGGGUGGAUUGAAAUGCUGAACAAUACCGCUCAUGUAUUUGGUUUUGAAAUUUAGAGGAUCAUUGGAGUUAUGAAGUAUUCUUUAGUAUACUUUUAAGACUAAGCUAAAAACCAGCUGUUAGGACUAAGUUUGAUGUUGACUACAAUAAUUUCUUCGUAUAUAUAGUUACGAUAUUUUCUUUAGUAUAUAUAAUUUUGAUGUUGAUUAUCUAUUUUGCAAAAUAUACUUUUGUGUGUCUAUGUGUGACGCUUUUCCUACCACAAUCGUUUCCAAUACAGCUAGAAAAUUCCAAAAUGGUAUGAAAUAAAUUAUUAAGUACUUUGAGGAUUAUCUACCGUUCUGAAAGUUUGAGUUUUAAAAGUUGUUGCCCAUAAUCUCUUUUGUAAUCAGGUUUAUUUCGAGGCCAACUUAGACCUCUAAACAAUGGACAAGUCAUGGAUGACCCAAAAUAGGAUGUCAAGAGAAUAUGAUUUAGGAGUCGAAAGGUUCAUUAAAUUUGGGUUGAGUCAUGCCAAAAGUCUUAAUUCAAUUAGAUGUUCAUGUUUGAAUUACGGCAAUCGUUUACUUAAGGAUGUCUCAAAAGUUCGGUAUCAUUUGUAUGCCAAUGAAUUGAUAAGAGUUACAAGGUAUGGUUCUUGCAUGGUGAAGAAUUGAACUCAGAUAACGUUACCAACACGAUGGAAAAUACAGUGGAUGAAACUGAUGAAAAUGACGAUUUAUUUAUACAAUUAAUAUGGUUCAAUCUGUUCAAGAACAAUCUUGUAAUGCAUCAAAUACCUUCGACACUAUGUUUGAUGACGUGAAGAAACCCUUAUACCCAGGAUGUAAGAAAUUCACAAAGUUAUCAGCCCUCGUGAGAUUGUAUAACCUGAAGGUUAGGUAUGGUUGAACUAACACUAGCUUCUCUGAAUUGUUGUCCAUAAUAAGUGAUCUAUUACCUGAUAACAAUGAAAUUCCAUGUUCUUUGUACGAAGCGAAGAAAACACUUGGUGCCCUAGGACUGAGUUACCAAAAAAUUGAUGCAUGCCCUAAUGAUUGUUGCUUGUACAGAAAAGAAUAUGAAAAGAUGACCAAGUGCCCUAAGUGUGGUUUGUCAAGGUGAAAUAUCGCUAAGAACUCAAAAAAGGAAAAAGUGGUGUGGUUGCUAAGCAGAUGUGGUACUUUCCAAUAAUUCCAAGAUUUAUAAGAAUGUUCAAGAGAUCUGAAAAUGCUAAGAACUUGCGUUGGCAUGCGAUAGAUAGACAAGUUGAUGGUAUUUUGAGACACCCGGCUGACACUCCAUCAUGGAGGUUGAUAGACCACAUGUGGCCAACCUUUGGGUUAGAACCGAGAAAUCUCCGUUUGGGUUUGUUUACUGAUAGAAUUAACCCAUUUGGAGAUAUGUUGACGAUGUACAUUUGUUGGCCCAUCAUCACUACAAUAUACAACCUUCCACCAUGGCUGUGUAUGAGAAGAAAAUAUUUGAUGUUGACAAUGUUAAUAUCAGGUCCAAAGCAACCGGGAUACGAUAUCAAUACGUACUUAGCACCUUUAAUUCAUGACCUACAAAUGUUGUGGACAGAUGGAGUUCGUUGUUUCGAUGCAUAUAAGGAAGAAUAUUUCACACUGCGGGCUGUCUUAUUGUGGACCAUCAACGAUUUUUCAGCAUACGGUAAUCUAUGCGGUUUUAGUGUGAAAGGAUAUAAGGCUUGUCCAAUAUGUGGAGACGAGACUACUUCAAUAAGAUUGCAACAUGGAAAAAGAAUGUCAUACAUGGGACACAUGAAGUAUUUGCCAAGACAUCAUCCAUACAGAUUACAAAAAAAAAAAAAAAUUAAUGGGAAGCAAGAGCAUGAAAUUCCUCCACAACCCUCGUCGAGGGAGGCCAUGUACCUUAAGAUGAAAGACAUGAUAUUUUCAUGUGGGAAGAAGUGUGGGAAGACCGUGCAUAAUGAAGGUGACAAUGACUAUGGAAAAGAAAACCUGAUUUUUUUCAACUACCAUAUUGGAAACACUUGCAUGUUCGACACUGUUUAGACAUAAUGCAUAUUGAAAAAAAUGUAUGCAUGAACAUAGUGGGCACCUUACUUGAUAUACCAGGAAAAAGUAAGGAUGGGAUGAAUACUAGACUUGACUUGGUUGAAAUGAAAAUUAGACAAGAAUUGGCACCAAUGUUUACUGGUAAUAGAACUUAUAUCCCUGCGGCAUGUUAUACACUGUCAAAAGAAGAGAAUUAUCGGUUUUGCAAGACUUUGUCAGAAAUUAAAGUUCCAGAAGGUUAUUCAGCAAAUAUUAGUAGUCGUGUCUCUUUGGAUGACUUAAAACUGACCGGCCUUAAGUCGCACGACUGUCAUGUUUUAAUGCAACAACUGCUUCCAAUUGCAAUACGUUCAGUCCUACGGAAGAAUGUGAGGUACACUAAAAACCCACAAACUGUCCUCUCCCCGUUGAAGUCGAAACCGGCCGAACGCCCAAACUCCAUCUGCAAGGUUGCCGACUGUUCAUGUCGUCUGAUCUCUUCUCCUCGUUCCGUACUGCCGCGAGUCAUCCCGAAUUGUCGUGACCCUCUGUCGUCGUUCGUCCCAAUUCGUGAAGUCGCCGGAUCGGUUCUACAGCUUGUGUGAUUUUUUUAUUCGUACACUGCUGCAACUUUUACCUUGUCGUGUGUUGCCAAAAUUGUUGUUGGUAAGGAUGAAUUGGGGAUUUAAUUUUUUCUUGGCUAUUGAUAAAUUAUAUUGUUGGAUCUAAUUGCUUGGAGAAACACUUCAUCCUUAAGGUACUAAUUGAGGUUAGUGAGCGGAUACUUGGGUUGUAAUAGGUUGAGUUGGAUUUGUCUCCCCAUUUGAGGUGGUAAGUGACAACUCACUUUUGGUUGAGUUGGAUAGAUUAUUUGAAGAUGCUAACAUUCUAUUUAUUUAUGUUUAGGAUUUGAUUGUUGGAAUUAGUUUGAUCAAGGAUUUUGCAUAAAAUCAAGGUAAGGAUUCCUACUAUUGGACUCAACGAUGAAAUUGAGAUGUAUUUUCUGCAUGGACCCCGCUAAACUGGGAUGGACUGACUGAUAUGAAAAUCUUAUAUUUAAUUGCCUGUCUAGCUGUACGAAAUUUUGUUGAACUUAAAUGAACUGAUUGAUACGUAUACUUGGUUGGUUAUGACGAUAGAAUUGAUUAAGUUAUGGUUUGUUGGUUGUUAUGUUAGGGCAUAGGUAAUGUCCUAUAAUUGAUGAACUAAUCUGAAUUGACUGAAGUAAGAAGAGCGAUGCUUGGGUGUAAAUUUAUUCAUUGAAGAAUCGUUAUAAUAAUGUUGACUAGGUGUUGGAUUGCAUAAAUUGACUGUAAACGUGUUGAACUCAGAGAAUUAAAUAGUGGUAACUUGAACUGCAAGAAUUUGAUUGAUUGAUUAAAAAUGUUAGAUUGUGACUGAGGGGACAUUGUUAACUUUAUCUAUAGGGUAGUGUACCUUGCAGGUGUCCUACGGGAUCACCACCUGUUGUGCAUUCUUCGGAAGCACUAGACUGAUAUGUGUUUUUUUACAGAACACUAGACUGAUAUGUACGUCCCUCGAGGCGUUAGACUGAUUAUGUGUAUCCUACGGGAUCACAAGACUGUGACUGUGCAAGGUACCCCGAUAGGAAGUUAACAGUUUAUUUUUCCCCUAACGGGACCAAUAGUUGGUCUCUUACUGAGUAUGUUUAUACUCACCCUUUUAUGUUUAACUUUUCGGGCAAAGGUAACAAAGGUGGCAAACCGACGAGUGGCCGGAAGGAAGCGUGAUCGCCAUAGGGGACAUUUUAAAUUCGCUUCCGCUUGAUGAUUUAUGUUUUUGUUUUGUUUUCGUACUUGAGACUGUGUAGAAAAUUUGAGGUUUAACUGUAUCCAAAAAUCAGAAAAUCAUAAGUUUUUUUUUUCUUGAAAGUUUUGGUUAUUUUAAACAGGGCCCAAACACAAAUUUUGUUUUCUUGAGUUUUUAAAUUUAAUUGAAUUUGGUACUUUGUGUAAACUCAAGUCUUUGUGUUAAUUUAACGACUUUGACUUAGUUAGAAAAGUUGGGUCGUUACAGUUGGUAUCAGAGCCUAAGUUUUAGGUUCUAUAGACUGACUUACGAUGUAAGUCUGUGUUUUGUGUCCCUAUGGCUAAUGCGACUCUUCGCCUCUCGUCAGGUAUGCUUUAUGCUUAUAUGUAUUGUUUAUUUGCAUGACUUUGCCUAAGUUAAACUAGACUGUAUGAUGUACCUUAUGAUUAAGACUAUUAAAAGAGAGUUGUUGGUGGAUAAUAGGAAUUAUGCCGCCAAAGAAAGGUGUUCGUAGAGGAGGUCGUGGAGGCCGGGGUAGAGGAGCAGUUCGUAAUCAACCUGUUGAGGGUCAAGCUGAACAGUAAAUUCCUACUGCACCAGUGACUCACACCGAGUUGGCUGCACUAUUUACUCACAUGGAGCCUUUUCACGGAGCUUAUGACUGCUAUAGCUUAGAACCCGCAGGCACCCGUAGUUCCGCCUACACCAGUAGUUCCAUUUGCACCAGUGGUUCCCCCUGUACCAGCAGCUCCACCUGCACCAGCAGCCCCUCCUGCAUAGGGAUUGGUUGCACAACAGCCACAGAUACUACCG
rnacentral:lncRNA from 1 species